rnacentral:lncRNA from 1 species
CAAACUGCGGCUUCCUGGAAUAAAGGAUGGGCAGGGAAAUUUGCAAGAGAACGUCAGCAAGGAUUUCUAAUAGACCAGAACCCACCCACAUACUCCCUAAGUCAGUUGUGAAGCUGCUUCCCAAUCUGAUACAAAGGUUUUCUGCACUAACUCAUUGUUAUUCUUGUACACCACAUGCUGUAUACCAGAUGAACAAAUUAAAAUAGAAUAUAAUCUGUAUAUGCUAUAGAGAAAGUAUCAAAGUGUUUGUAAAUUUGUAAAUCAUUAACUCACUUUUUCCCUUCCCUUACUUCUAACUCUGGCCAAAUUCAUGUUAAUUUCAGUGUCCGUCCCCAGAUAUGAUCAAUGUUAUUUAUAUGAUACGUGCAAGAACUUUCAAUACAGAGCACUGCAUGUUAUGAAAAAAAUAUAUAUUUGAAUUCACAUCUUUCAUGUGACAGGAGGAGCCCCUACCUCACAGUUACUUAUUUUGUUGAUACGUAUACGGAGAAUGGUCACUGGACGUCUCUACUGUAACCUGCUGUUGACCACUGGCUUCCUCAACAGGAACCGCUGCUGUCUGGACAUGUGUGUAUUGGGGUAUGUAGGCUCCUUGCAUAGCUGUUGUGGCUGGCAUGUAUGUUCCAGUACUGCCUAAUGAAAGAUGACUCAUCUGCUGCGUCAAAGGGCUUAUCAUUGAUGCAGGCUGUAGUGACAUGGUGUGGUCCAUGGAGGGAGUCAGUACAGCACCUGGGUGCUGCAUUAUAUAUGGUUGAGGCUGCAUCCAAGAAGGACUCUGAACCUGGUAUGUGGAAACCGGAGAAGCAAUAUAUGGCGUAAUAGAUGUUUGAGUGAUCAUUCUGUUUGCUGUAAUACUGUAGGGUGAUGGAUAAAAUCCAUUUUGUAAAGCAGCUGUGGUUGGAUCAUAAGUGAGUGUCAUUCCAGCCUCGCCUUCUCUGUGCCAUGCUCUUCCAUUCUGUAUGUAUUUAUUCUGAUUCUGUCUCUUUUUCUGUCCUCCAUCAGCAAACUUGCACAAUAAAGGUUCUGCAGGAACAGAAACUCCUGCUGGUGUCUUUAUGAAUUUUCCGUUAAAAUGAGCAAUCACUGCUUCACAUUUUUCUGUUGAUUCCAUCCUGGCAAAGCCAACACCACGGCUUGUUCCACUCGAGUCACGCAAUAUCCUCGUAGAGAUAACCUGCCCAAAAGGCUUAAGCAUGUUCUCAAGCUCCUGCUCAUCCAUUGAAAGUGGCAAAUUGGAAAUGUAUAAAUUUGUUGGAUCCUGUUCUUGUUGCUUUGCCAUUUGUGCCUGGACUCCACUAGCCUUUAGAGCAGAAACUGCCUUCUGAGCAGCUGCUGGGCUGUCGAAGUCCACAAAACCAUAACCUUUGCACUUGUUUGUUGUCUUAUCCAAAAUAGCCUUUGUGGAUACAAUUUUCCCAUACGGUUGGCAUAAUUUUACCAGGUCCUGAUCAGUGGUGUUUGGAGGCAGUGCUCUGAUGUAAAGGUUUGUUUUACUUAAUUGAUCCCAUCCUGAGUUGCUGCUGCUACUACUGUUGUUAUUACUGCUGGUGGUGCUGGGACUAGGAGGAGCCAUUGGGUGGGCUGGUACAAUGGACUGCUGCUUCCUAUAGGGCGUCCGGCUGCCGCCCGCCGCGCUGCUGUUGCUGCUGGGGAAGAUCAUCGCCUCGCCUGAUCCCCGGCCGCCCCUCGGGAUGGGGAGCAACUUUGGCGGCCGCCGGGUUGCGGCGCGGCGGGGCUGCAGGGCGCUCCGCGCCUCCGUGCCUUCCCUCCGGCUGCGGCUGCCGCGCGUUCUCCCCGGCCCCCGCCCCGCUCAGCUCCGCUCCGCGCCGACCCUACCCCGCCGCGGCCGCCCAGCCUGCCAUCAACGGGCGCUCAUUGACCGCCGGCGGCUUCCCCGGCCCGGCCGAUCCCACCUCCCGCCGGCCUCAACCACCGCCCAGAAGGAGGGAACGAGCGAGCCCAACCGCAGCGGGGAAGCGCGGAGCGGACGAGGCGCCCGCCCCCACCCCCGCGGCUGCGCUGGCGGCGACGGCGGCGCGGACCCGGGGCCGAGGAGCGGAGCGGGGCGCGGCCCCGGACGGCGCGGGGCGGCGGGCGCGGCGGGGGUGCCCCCGCGGAGCGCAAUGGUUGCGCCUGGGGGGCGCGGCGGGACCGCGGCGGAAUGCAACUUGCGCCCGGCCCCGCGUGCCGCGCAUUCCGCCGCGGACCCGCGGCGGGGUGAGUGCGGCUCAGCCCCGACUUUGACCUCCAGAACGGUACCCGUGCCCUCAGCCCCCGGCUCUCCCAGCUGCUCUUCUGGGGGAAAAAAAUACAACUAAUGGGCCUUUCCCCCCACAUCCCUCUCCUCCCCCCCUCCAACUGUUGAAGUGCCCGGGCUUCCCAGGGUGGGAGGGAGCUCAGGGUCCACGGAACCCCGCGGAUGCUGUAGGGAGACCAGAUUACUCCUAGCACAGUAAAAACAAGAAUAUGUAACUCAAAAGUUUUGCUUUGUCGGAGGCAGGAAUGCAGCUGGGGGAACAUCCGGUCGCAGCCCUCGUGGAGGCUCCUGCAGUAGAGGAGAACUCUGAUUUCUUCCCAGAAUCCAGGCCUGGGAAGCAAUGCGGUUAUGAGGGGAAGAGCGGGAGGCUGAAAGAAAGAGCCGUGCUGGGAGGACGGAUUGCCGGGCUCACCCCUGUCCCCCCGCCCCGCUCACAUCACGGUGCCGCAGUGCAGCCCUGCAACAGCAGCCCACAGCUGUGGGCCCGUCGGGCCCUGAGCUCUGGGCAGCUGCCAGCAGCGCUGCUCAGACGGCACCACCCAGCGCCUUCUGGUUCUUCUUCCUCUUUCUAAUAGAGAUGUGGCCCCAAUCUCACACACACAAAUUGCAAAGGGAAACAGCUGAGAAAAACCAGAGACUUGCCAGGUAGCUCUCUGCUACUCAUGUAGCACCCCGCUUCUAUUUACAAACACCGUAACCUGUAACUAGAAACAAUCACCAAACAGUUUGGCAUCCCACUGUAUUGCCGCCACCGCAGUGCGCGAAGCGCUGCCCCUUGGCAGAAUGACAUUCCGCAUAACUUUCCUUUUUUUCCCUCUUUCGCGUCCUAAAAUGGUUCUCUUUCAGCUCAGCCUCGGCUCCUCAGCACGGCUGAGGGCUGCCAGCACCGGGCCGGACAGGCGGCAGCCCCAUAACGUGACCCGGCAGUGGCUGCUGCUGGAACGCCCGCUGGGGCACGUCUGCAUGGCAAGCACCGUGCUGGCGCCGCCUGCCCGCCCCACGCUGCGAGCACACACCGCUGGGGCUCCCAGUGCUGUCAGACGGUGGUACAGAGGCCUGGGUGAGGGCAAAGCCACAGCCCUUGCUCUGGUUGAGGUGCAGUUUCAUGCACACUGUACAGCAGCAUUCGUUGGCAUGGCUGCUGAGGAAAGCACCAGCUGGGCAAUUGAUUCUGG